rnacentral:RNase_P_RNA from 1 species
AUUUUUGGAUAAUCGCAUGGUAAAUGAGUUGCCAUGAGGAAAGUCCAUGCUAGCACUGGCUGUGAUGCCGGUAGUGUUUGUGCUAGGCGAACCAAUAAGCCUAGGGACUUGUCCUUGAGAUGAGUUACGGCGGAUAAAAUGGCUAAGUCUUUGAUAUGCCAGAGUCAUCCUGAAAGUGCCACAGUGACGUAGUUUUCAUGGAAACGUGAAAAAUGGAACGCGGUAAACCCCUCAAGCUAGCAACCCAAACUUUGGUCGGGGCAUGAAAUAGCUGGAAUCCGAACAGACUAUUUUGACUGCAAGUUUAUCCUUGUAGUAGACAGAUGAUUAUCAAGGGAGGCAAGGCCUAGUUGCCUCCUGAACAAAACAUGGCUUAUAGAA